CAAAGAUAGUACACGUUUCUAUUCUGUCGAUGCUGUCAAAAUCGUAAACUAGUAAAUAUGCUGAACACAAAUAAAUAAACAAAGACACUACCGGUAGUGCGCUGUGGGCCGGAAUUGUGAUCAAGUUUCGGCUUGCAUUUGUGAAACAUAAGUUACAUGUGGAACGAAAUUACCUGAAGGGAUUCAAUUACAGUGGAAAUGGAGACUGCCCCUGAACAACAUACUAGUUCUGCCUGUGAUGGGGUUACCAUCAAACAGGAGCCAGUGCCGCCGCGCAGUUACGUGCAUCCUUUACAUGCGGCGCUGUCUGCCAGCCAUGCAGCAGCAGCGCCACCUAAAUGACCAGCCAGCCAGUGACCGCUAGACUUGGACUCAAUUAUGUGAUUUGACUGUUAUAGUGUACACACGUCUUACUCCAUUUACUUGAUCUGUGACUUUCAUGUAUUGAGUAUUCCUUGAAAUAUAUUUGUUCAACUUGAA